UACGUAGGGUGCAAGCGUUAAUCGGAAUUACUGGGCGUAAAGCGUGCGCAGGCGGUUGUGCAAGACAGAUGUGAAAUCCCCGGGCUCAACCUGGGAACUGCAUUUGUGACUGCACGGCUGGAGUGCGGCAGAGGGGGAUGGAAUUCCGCGUGUAGCAGUGAAAUGCGUAGAUAUGCGGAGGAACACCGAUGGCGAAGGCAAUCCCCUGGGCCUGUACUGACGCUCAUGCACGAAAGCGUGGGGAGCAAACAGGA
rnacentral:rRNA from 1 species